rnacentral:rRNA from 1 species
UACGUAGGGGGCUAGCGUUGUCCGGAUUUACUGGGCGUAAAGGGCGCGUAGGCGGCGCAACAAGUCACUUGUGAAAUCUCCGGGCUUAACCCGGAGCGGUCAAGUGAUACUGUCGUGCUAGAGUGCGGAAGGGGCUACUGGAAUUCUCGGUGUAGCGGUGAAAUGCGUAGAUAUCGAGAGGAACACCUGCGGCGAAGGCGGGUUGCUGGGCCGACACUGACGCUGGAGGAGCGAAAGCGUGGGGAGCGAACAGG